UACGUAGGGGGCGAGCGUUGUCCGGAUUUAUUGGGCGUAAAGAGCUCGUAGGCGGUUCGAUAAGUCGGACGUGAAAUCUCCACGCUCAACGUGGAGGGGCCGUUCGAUACUGUCGUGACUCGAGUCCGGUAGGGGAGUGUGGAAUUCCCGGUGUAGCGGUGAAAUGCGCAGAGAUCGGGAGGAACACCCGUAGCGAAGGCGGCACUCUGGGCCGGCAUUGACGCUGAGGAGCGAAAGCCAGGGGAGCAAACGGG
rnacentral:rRNA from 1 species